rnacentral:rRNA from 1 species
AUACGUAGGUGGCAAGCGUUGUCCGGAUUUAUUGGGCGUAAAGGAUGCGUAGGUGGAUAUUUAAGUCAGAUGUGAAAACCCCAAGCUUAACUUGGGGACUGCAUUUGAAACUGGGUAUCUAGAGUGCAGGAGAGGAAAGCAGAAUUCCUAGUGGAGUGGUGAAAUGCGUAGAGAUUAGGAAGAAUACCAGUGGCGAAGGCGGCUUUCUGGACUGUAACUGACACUGAGGCAUGAAAGCGUGGGGAGCAAACAGGAUUAGAUACCCUGGUAGUCCACGCUGUAAAUGAUGAGUAUUAGGUGUAGGAGGUAUCAACCCCUUCUGUGCCGUAAAUUAACACGUUAAAUACUCCGCCUGGGGACUACGAUCGCAAGAUUAAA